rnacentral:rRNA from 1 species
GCUCUCUGGAUCAGUGGCGAACGGGUGAGUAACACGUGAGCAACCUGCCCCGGACUCUGGGAUAACAGCUGGAAACAGCUGCUAAUACCGGAUACGAGCUGCGAAGGCAUCUUCAGCAGCUGGAAAGAAUUUCGGUCCGGGAUGGGCUCGCGGCCUAUCAGCUAGUUGGUGAGGUAAUGGCUCACCAAGGCGUCGACGGGUAGCCGGCCUGAGAGGGUGACCGGCCACACUGGGACUGAGACACGGCCCAGACUCCUACGGGAGGCAGCAGUGGGGAAUAUUGCACAAUGGGCGAAAGCCUGAUGCAGCAACGCCGCGUGAGGGAUGACGGCCUUCGGGUUGUAAACCUCUUUUAGCAGGGAAGAAGCGAAAGUGACGGUACCUGCAGAAAAAGCGCCGGCUAACUACGUGCCAGCAGCCGCGGUAAUACGUAGGGCGCAAGCGUUAUCCGGAAUUAUUGGGCGUAAAGAGCUCGUAGGCGGUUUGUCGCGUCUGCUGUGAAAACCCGAGGCUCAACCUCGGGCCUGCAGUGGGUACGGGCAGACUAGAGUGCGGUAGGGGAGAUUGGAAUUCCUGGUGUAGCGGUGGAAUGCGCA